rnacentral:pre_miRNA from 1 species
AAUAAGAUAAUUUUUCAGUUUUUAGAUAUAAUAUUUUGAUUCUUCAUCUUAUUUAAAAUUUUUUGUGAUUAAUAUUUUUAUUAUUACUAGAUGAUAAAAUAUGAAUAAUACUUAUACGUGACUAAUUUUUUUAAGUUUUCUUACAAUUUUUAAAAAUAAGACAAAUAGUCAAAGUAUUAGGCACAGAAAUCGAAAAAUGGGACAGGG